GAUUGAACGCUGGCGGUAUGCUUAACACAUGCAAGUCGAACGGAAACGAUACUAGCUUGCUAGUAGGCGUCGAGUGGCGGACGGGUGAGUAACGCGUAGGAAUCUGCCUGAUAGUGGGGGAUAGCCCGAAGAAAUUCGGAUUAAUACCGCAUAAUCUAUUCGUAGUAAAGUGGGGGACUUUCGAGCCUCACGCUAUCAGAUGAGCCUGCGUAAGAUUAGCUAGUUGGUAGGGUAAAAGCCUACCAAGGCAACGAUCUUUAGCUGGUCUGAGAGGAUGAUCAGCCACAUCGGGACUGAGACACGGCCCGAACUCCUACGGGAGGCAGCAGUGGGGAAUAUUGGACAAUGGGGGCAACCCUGAUCCAGCAAUACCGCGUGUGUGAAGAAGGCCUGAGGGUUGUAAAGCACUUUCAAUUGUGAAGAAAAGUUAACGGUUAAUAACCGUUAGCCUUGACGUUAACUUUAGAAGAAGCACCGGCUAACUCCGUGCCAGCAGCCGCGGUAAUACGGAGGGUGCAAGCGUUAAUCGGAAUUACUGGGCGUAAAGCGUGCGUAGGCGGUUUAUUAAGUCAGAUGUGAAAGCCCCGGGCUUAACCUGGGAACUGCAUUUGAAACUGGUCAACUAGAGUAUGGUAGAGGAAAGUGGAAUUUCUGGUGUAGCGGUGAAAUGCGUAGAUAUCAGAAGGAACAUCAAUGGCGAAGGCAGCUUUCUGGACCAAUACUGACGCUGAGGUACGAAAGCGUGGGUAGCAAACAGGAUUAGAUACCCUGGUAGUCCACGCCGUAAACGAUGAUAACUAGCCGUUGGGGGGAUUUACCCUUUAGUGGCGAAGCUAACGCGUUAAGUUAUCCGCCUGGGGAGUACGGCCGCAAGGUUAAAACUCAAAGGAAUUGACGGGGACCCGCACAAGCGGUGGAGCAUGUGGUUUAAUUCGAUGCAACGCGAAGAACCUUACCUGGUCUUGACAUCCUGCGAACUUUCUAGAAAUAGAUUGGUGCCUUCGGGAACGCAGUGACAGGUGCUGCAUGGCUGUCGUCAGCUCGUGUCGUGAGAUGUUGGGUUAAGUCCCGUAACGAGCGCAACCCCUAUCCUUAUUUGCCAGCACGUCAUGGUGGGAACUAUAAGGAGACUGCCGGUGAUAAACCGGAGGAAGGCGGGGACGACGUCAAGUCAUCAUGGCCCUUACGACCAGGGCUACACACGUGCUACAAUGGGAAGGACAAAGAGCCGCGAAGCCGCGAGGUGUAGCUAAUCUCAGAAACCUUUUCGUAGUCCGGAUUGGAGUCUGCAACUCGACUCCAUGAAGUCGGAAUCGCUAGUAAUCGUAGAUCAGAAUGCUACGGUGAAUACGUUCCCGGGUCUUGUACACACCGCC
rnacentral:rRNA from 1 species